UUGACAUCUUUGGAGAGAGAGACACAUUUCAUCCACAGAACACGUAUAGCACAGGCAGUGGUAGUGCAAGAUUCCCCCCACAUUACCCCACGUGUCUCCUUCCUGACCACUUCCACAGUUCAGUUUCUGCCUCCCUCUCCCCUGCAUUCAGUUCUUUGCAUUU
rnacentral:sRNA from 1 species